rnacentral:rRNA from 1 species
AUGUCUAAGCACAUGCCGAUUAAUGGUAAAGCCGCGAAUGGCUCAUUACAACAGCUAUAGUUUACAGGACGAUGCUGUUGAAAGGAUAACUGUGGUAAUUCUAGAGCUAAUACAUGCACUUAUAUCCAGACCUUACGGAAUGGAUGCAGUUAUUAGAAUAAAACCAAGCAGGCUUGCCUGCCAUUUGGUGAAUCUGAAUAACCCAGUGAUCGCACGGUCUUUGUACCGGCGACGUAUCCUUCAAAUGUCUGCCUUAUCAACCGUCGAUGGUAGUUUAUGCGCCUACCAUGGUUGUUACGGGUAACGGAGAAUUAGGGUUCGACUCCGGAGAGGGAGCCUGAGAAAUGGCUACCACAUCUAAGGAAGGCAGCAGGCACGCAAAUUACCCACUCUUGGUACGAGGAGGUAGUGACGAAGAAUAACAGGACGGCCUCUUAUUGAGGCCCGUCACUGGAAUGAGUACAGUUUAAAUCCUUUAACGAGGAUCUAUUGGAGGGCAAGUCUGGUGCCAGCAGCCGCGGUAAUUCCAGCUCCAAUAGCGUAUAUUAAAGUUGUUGCGUUUAAAAAGCUCGUAGUUGAAUCUGCGUCUUUUGGUUGGCGGUCCCUUAACGGGUGUACUGCUUUACCAGGACCAUUUAUCUGGUUUUCUCUUGAUGCUCUUCAUUGAGUGUCUUGAGCGACUGGAGAGUUUACUUUGAAAAAAUCAAAGUGCUUAAAGCAGGCUUUUAGCCUGAAUGGUGGUGCAUGGAAUAAUGGAAUAAGACUUCGGUUUUAUUUUCAUGGCUUUCGAAUCUCGAGGUAAUGAUUAAGAGGGACAGACGGGGGCAUUCGUAUUGCAGCGUUAGAGGUGAAAUUCUUGGAUCGUUGCAAGACGUCCUACAGCGAAGGCAUUUGCCAAAGAAUGUUUUCAUUAAUCAAGAACGAAAGUUAGAGGUUCGAAGGCGAUCAGAUACCGCCCUAGUUCUAACUGUAAACGAUUCUAACCAGCGAUCCACAGGAGUUGAUCUAUGACUCUGCGGGCAGCUUUCCGGAAACGAUUGAGUUUCUGAGAUCCGGGGGUAGUAUGGUUGCAAAGCUGAAACUUAAAGGAAUUGACGGAAGGGCACCACCAGGAGUGGAGCCUGCGGCUUAAUUUGACUCAACGCGGGGAAACUCACCCGGCCUAGACACUGAAAGGACUGACAGACUGAAAGCUCUUUCUCGAUUCGGUAAGUGGUGGUGCAUGGCCGUUCUUAGUUGGUGGAGCGAUUUGUCUGGUUAAUUCCGAUAACGAACGAGACUCUAGCCUAUUAAACUAGACUGUGAAUUUUUUAGUUCACAGCGCUUCUUAGAGGGACGGAGGGUGUCUAGCCCUACGAGAUUGAGCAAUAACAGGUCUGUGAUGCCCUUAGAUGUCCGGGGCUGCACGCGCGCUACACUGAAGCAAUCAACAAGCUUUCUAUCCUCCUCCGUAAGGAGAGGGUAAUCCGUUGAAAUUGCUUCGUGCUUGGGAUAGGAAUUUGUAAUUAUUUUCCUUGAACGAGGAAUUCCUAGUAAGUGCAGGUCAUAAUCUUGCGUUGAUUACGUCCCUGCCCUUUGUACACACCGCCCGUCGCUACUACCGAUUGGACGAUUUAGUGAGGCCUUUGGACCGAGGCCGUUGCGGGCUCGCGCUUGCUUCGGCUUUUGAAAAGAUGUCCGAACUUGAUCGUCUGGAGGGAAGU